UACGAAGGACCCGAGCGUUAUCCGGAUUUAUUGGGUUUAAAGGGUGCGUAGGCGGGAUAGUAAGUCAGUGGUGAAAGCCUGUUGCUUAACAACAGAAUUGCCAUUGAUACUGCUAACCUUGAAUACAGUUGAUGUGGGCGGAAUAUGACAUGUAGCGGUGAAAUGCUUAGAUAUGUCAUAGAACACCUAUUGCGAAGGCAGCUCACAAAACUGUUAUUGACGCUGAGGCACGAAAGCGUGGGGAUCAAACAGG
rnacentral:rRNA from 1 species